rnacentral:rRNA from 1 species
UACGAAGGGGGCUAGCGUUGCUCGGAAUCACUGGGCGUAAAGGGUGCGUAGGCGGGUCUUUAAGUCAGGGGUGAAAUCCUGGAGCUCAACUCCAGAACUGCCUUUGAUACUGAAGAUCUUGAGUUCGGGAGAGGUGAGUGGAACUGCGAGUGUAGAGGUGAAAUUCGUAGAUAUUCGCAAGAACACCAGUGGCGAAGGCGGACGACCUGGGCAGAUACUGACGCUGAGGUGCGAAAGCGGUGGGAGCAAACAGGG